GGUCAAGUGAAGAAGCGCAUACGGUGGAUGCCUUGGCAGUCAGAGGCGAUGAAAGACGUGGUAGCCUGCGAUAAGCUUUGGGGAGUCGGCAAACAGACUGUGAUCCAGAGAUCUCUGAAUGGGGGAACCCAGCCAGCAUAAGCUGGUUAUCUUGUACUGAAUACAUAGGUGCAAGAGGCGAACCAGGGGAACUGAAACAUCUAAGUACCCUGAGGAAAAGAAAUCAACCGAGAUUCCCUUAGUAGUGGCGAGCGAACGGGGACCAG
rnacentral:rRNA from 1 species